GACGAACGCUGGCGGCGUGCUUAACACAUGCGAGUCGAACGGAAAGGCCCUGCUUGCAGGGUACUCGAGUGGCGAACGGGUGAGUAACACGUGGGUGAUCUGCCCUGCACUUCGGGAUAAGCCUGGGAAACUGGGUCUAAUACCGGAUAGGAGCCAUUUUUAGUGUGAUGGUUGGAAAGUUUUUUCGGUGUAGGAUGAGCUCGCGGCCUAUCAGCUUGUUGGUGGGGUAAUGGCCUACCAAGGCGGCGACGGGUAGCCGGCCUGAGAGGGUGGACGGCCACAUUGGGACUGAGAUACGGCCCAGACUCCGACGGGAGGCAGCAGUGGGGAAUCUUGCACCAUGGGCGCCAGCCUGAUGCAGCGACGCCGCGGGGGGGAUGACGGCCUUCGGGUUGUAAACUCCCUUCGCUAGGGACGAAGCUUUUUGUGACGGUACCUAGAUAAGAAGCACCGGCUAACUACGUG
rnacentral:rRNA from 1 species